rnacentral:rRNA from 1 species
UGCCAGCAGCCGCGGUAAUACGUAGGGUGCGAGCGUUAAUCGGAAUUACUGGGCGUAAAGGGUGCGCAGGCGGCCUUGUAAGUCAGAUGUGAAAGCCCCGGGCUUAACCUGGGAAUUGCGUUUGAAACUACAAAGCUAGAGUGCAGCAGAGGGGAGUGGAAUUCCAUGUGUAGCAGUGAAAUGCGUAGAGAUGUGGAAGAACACCGAUGGCGAAGGCAGCUCCCUGGGUUGACACUGACGCUCAUGCACGAAAGCGUGGGGAGCAAACAGGAUUAGAUACCCUGGUAGUCCACGCCCUAAACUAUGUCAACUAGCUGUCGGAUCUAAUUAAGGAUUUGGUAACGUAGCUAACGCGUGAAGUUGACCGCCUGGGGAGUACGAUCGCAAGAUUAAAACUCAAAGGAAUUGAC